rnacentral:rRNA from 1 species
GUCCGUCCUCCUGUGUGCGGCGCCGCCGCUGCGCACAUCUCAGGCGAGUGCUUCCAACCCAUCUCCUCGCCCUCCUCCACAUCUCCGGCCAAGGCGCUCACUUCUCCGGCCCUCCUCCACAUCUCAUGGCCUCCACCCAUCCGCUUCCUGUCCUUUGGUUCUCCAAGACUGCAGUAUGGUGCUCGGCGGCUGUGACAGCGGAGCUGAUGGUGCGCCAGCCGACCAGUUGAACGGAGGCAGUAGCAAGGGGCAGCGGCAACAGCCUAGAGGGCGGAGGUUGAUUGGCAAGGUAAUGGAACUGCAAAUAGGAGUGGCAGCGGCAACCAUGAUGCAAGUGCAAGUGGUUCCCAAAGAUCUUGGAAAACUAUUUGUGAGAUGAGGAUGAUCACAAUUCAGAGUAUUUGGGGACAAGGAAGAUGAUCCAUCAAUGCAAGAUCAGCAAGAGGCACAAAUGCAAGUGGAAAAAGAGACGCAAAUUCAAGUGGAAAUGGACGCAGCACCAAACGAUGGCAAUUUGGAGACCCGUAGAUCUGUACGGCUUGUCAAGAAGAAGACCAAGGACGUCAACAGCCUAUACUUGUUGCUUAGAAAUCUGCGGAAAUGCCACAUGAAGAACUAAGGAUAUCAAGAAGCUUUUGGAUGUAUGCAAGCUUGGAGCUGCUGUUUUAUAGAAAUGGCAUGUGUAGAAAUAGAAUAACCAAGGAUAUAAAGAAGCUUUUGGAUAUAGGCAAGCUUGGAGCUGCUGUUUCAAUGUCAUGCUUUAAUGGUUGUCUUUUGGAGCUGUUGUUUCUAUCAGUAAUCCUUUUAAGUCUGUUGGCUGUACCGGACUAUUUAAAGUCUGAACUACGCUGUGAUGGUUGAACUGAUGCUGGACUGUUAAGGGUUAUGUUGGAGGCAACUUUAUAACUAAUGUGUGCCUGUUAUGUUGGACAGAUGCAGUUUUAAUAAUCCCUAGAGCUUAUUUGCUGAAGUUUAUAUGAUCAAUCCUGAUGGUUGUUGCGCUGCUAUGUUUAGGCUUUGUUUUAUUUCAAAUUUUGUUUGAAUUUCGGCCGAAUUUCGGCCAAAUUUCGGUUGAAUUUUGGUCAAAAUUUCAAAUUUUGAUUUUGCAAUUUCGCCCGAGAUUUUGCUGAAAAAUUUAAAAUUCCCGAAAUUCGUCCAUUUCGGCCAAGGACGAAAAAAAACACAAACCGAAAUUCAAAACACAGGUUGGGAGGGAGCCUGGACGGGUAGUGCGCCAGGAAGAAAGCCAUACCGUCACCCAUACCGGCGCUGCCGUUCAAGUCACAUAUAUGAAGCUGAU